rnacentral:rRNA from 1 species
CGGGUGAGUAACGCGUGGGUAACCUGCCUUAUACAGGGGGAUAACAGUCAGAAAUGGCUGCUAAUACCGCAUAAGCGCACAGAGCUGCAUGGCUCAGUGUGAAAAACUCCGGUGGUAUAAGAUGGACCCGCGUUGGAUUAGCUUGUUGGUGGGGUAACGGCCCACCAAGGCGACGAUCCAUAGCCGGCCUGAGAGGGUGAACGGCCACAUUGGGACUGAGACACGGCCCAG